GCUGGGUCUGCGGGAGAUCACUGGAGGGAGGGCUGGGGGCCCAGCUGCAGGAAGCCGGCUGCUUGAGGUUUGCGUGCAGAGCCCAGCUGGGGCGGGCAGAGUCACAGAGGACUGUGCCAGACUCCCCCCUCGGAGGACUCCGUGCAGCCUGAUUCCCGGAGCUGCCGCUCCUGCCUGCACCUGGCUGCAGAGACCACACGGCCUUGCUGGGGCCCAGGAGGCUCAGGAGGGUGGUGCGGGCCGGGCUCCCUCCAGCUAUUUCCAAACUGCUGGUUAUUUAUGACCCAUUAGUGGGUCAGGAAAUCAAUUUAGUAGUUUGUGACCUGCAUUUUAAAAAAUGAAAUAGAACAGAAAAUAUCAGGGUGCGUGGCAAGUACUAGGGGGCUCACCCCCCGCCAGUGAUGCCCAGCCCUUGGUAGGGCUCGAAGCACCUUCUACAGACGGGAUGGCGGUGGAGAGACCGGCCCAGUCCCACAGCCCAUGAGAGCGGAGGCCCCUUCCGGCCCAAAGAUGGGGAACAGCACUGCAGACAACUCCUCGCUGAACUGCACCAUCGACCACACCAUCCACCAGACGCUGGCCCCGGUGGUCUACGUCACGGUGCUGGUGGUGGGCUUCCCGGCCAACUGCCUGUCCCUCUACUUUGGCUACCUGCAGAUCAAGGCCCGCAACGAGCUGGGCGUGUACCUGUGCAACCUGACGGUGGCCGACCUCUUCUACAUCUGCUCGCUCCCCUUCUGGCUGCAGUACGUGCUGCAGCACGACCACUGGUCGCACGGGGACCUGUCCUGCCAGGUGUGCGGCAUCCUCCUCUACGAGAACAUCUACAUCAGCGUGGGCUUCCUCUGCUGCAUCUCCAUCGACCGCUACCUGGCCGUGGCCCACCCCUUCCGCUUCCACCAGUUCCGGACCCUGAAGGCGGCCGUGGGGGUCAGCGCCGUCAUCUGGACCAAGGAGCUGCUGACCAGCGUCUACUUCCUCAUGCACAAGGAGGUCAUCGAGGACGGGAACCAGCACCGCGUCUGCUUCGAGCACUACCCCAUCGAGGCAUGGCAGCGCGGCAUCAACUACUACCGCUUCCUGGUGGGCUUCCUCUUCCCCAUCUGCCUGCUGCUGGCCUCCUACCAGGGCAUCCUGAGGGCCGUGCGCCGCAGCCACGGCACCCAGAAGAGCCGCAAGGACCAGAUCCAGCGGCUGGUGCUCAGCACCGUGGUCAUCUUCCUGGCCUGCUUCCUGCCCUACCACGUGCUGCUGCUGGUGCGCAGCCUCUGGGAGGCCAGCUGCGACUUCGCCAAGGGCGUCUUCAACGCCUACCACUUCUCGCUGCUGCUCACCAGCUUCAACUGCGUGGCCGACCCCGUGCUGUACUGCUUCGUCAGCGAGACCACCCACAGGGACUUGGCGCGCCUCCGCGGGGCCUGCCUGGCCUUCCUCACCUGCUCCAGGACCGGCCGGGCGCGGGAGGCCUACCCGCUGGGCGCCCCCGAGGCCUCGGGGAAGAGCGGGGUCCAGGGCGAGGAGCCCGAGCUGUUAACUAAGCUCCACGCCGGCUCGCCUGCCGGAGGGGGGUCCCCCAUGGGUGGCUCGGCCUAGCCUGGGUCCCCCACGCUGGGGCCAGGGGAGGCCUGAGCUUGCUGGCCAGCUGCCCCCCGCUUUGCCAAGCGCAGGUGCCUCUCUGUGCGGGAGGGAAGGAUGGGUCUGUGGAGGGGGAAUAAGCCCUGCAGGCUCACAGGUGUCCUCUUGGCUGGCCGGGACUCGGCCAGGCUGGGGCUCCUGGGGGGAGGAAGACUGAGCUGUGGCUUCCGGGAGGUUUUCAAAGAGCAGCAUGAGAGGGGCUGUGGAGUAGGGGGCGCAUGGGGUGGAGGAUCGGGAGGUGAGGUGGGCAACUGGGUGUCUACCUGCCGGGGCCUUCCAGGGCCGUCGUCGUCACAGAUGAUACCUCUCCAAGUGCUGUUACCCGACGAUGGGACACAUGAAGAUGUACUGUCAUCAUGAACACUGGAGCCCCACCCCACGCAGGGUGAGAAGGGAAGAUUGGAUGGGGAGAAGGAAGGUGGGGGGCGUCUGGGGUGCUGGGAGUGGAGCGAGGACAGUGAGGGUGUGACGGGCAGAGGAGGACUCUAGUUCCAGCCACAUCACGGUUUCAUGGGAGGCUGAGCAGAUCCCCAGCCUGAAGGCUGAGGGAAAAUAAACCCCAGGGCUCCCUGGGGAGAUGUCUGUGGUCCUUAAAAAGUCAGCACUGAAGCUCAGGGGUCAGGACAGGGGCCGGAAGCCAGUGUGUGUUUAAGCAAGUGCCCGACACAGAUGCCUCCUAAUUAGAUUUGUUUCCCAGAAGGGCCAGACCUGAAAGCCUGGGGUGGGUGGGACGGGGGAGAGUGUGUGUGUUUAUGGUUAAAACGCCACAGUCUCCAUGACAGCUGUGUGCCAAGACCCUGAGGCUAGGGCCGUGUGACCACAGUACCCCAUCCCCUCCGCCCUGUCCCCUUCCACGCCCGCUGUGGAGUGUCUAGCAGUCUUGGAGAGGGGAACAUGUUCUCCCCGACCUCUCGGAUGUAAGAGCAAACACCGCAGAGGUGCGCUCCCUCGCAGCCCUCAGCCAGAGGCCUGGGCUUAAAUUCUGCUCUGGUUUAAAUAGCUGCCGUGACAAGGAGAAGAGGUGACCUCUGUUCUCCAUCUCUGCUCCACUGCCGGAUGUCCCACCUCACCCACCUGGAGAGUGACGUUAGGAGCGUGCACCAUGUGUAGCCCAGAGUCCUGACUGCCAUCUUUUGUUCUGUCCUGAAAGGCUGGGUAGGGGCUCAUCUCUCCUGUAACUUUGUGCCUGACCAUGUUGAGGUAUCCCUCCCACCCCCCACUCCCCACCCCACACAGGGGUUUCUCCUGUUCAGUUUUGCAACAAAGUUUCCUGCCCCUGAGCGCCAUCCCUUCAAGGGUCUCUGGAGAGUGGCAGGGAGGGGCUGUGGGGUCCUUCAGCCUCUUCCUAUUGUUCAAACACAAGGGACUUUGCCUCUGCAACAUGCCAGGCACAGCCCCUGCUCUGGUGACCAUGCCAAGGACCCCGAGAACUACCUGUGCUCCAGGAGACCGGCCCACCUCCACAGAAAUGCCAGCCCUGCAGACUUUCUGGUCAGACUCCUGGAGGCCGGAGUGUUCCGGAAGAGUAGAUCCUUCUUCCAAACACACUAACAUCAAGAUCUCAAAAAUGCCCGGGAACCCCGUACUCAGAGGCCCCCACUACACAGAACUCUGCAGUCACAAAUCAGGGACAAAAAUUGUAACUGUAGGAGACCUGGCCAGCGAGGCUCAGAGCCGAGGUGGCUUCCCUGAGCCGUGAGAAGCCGCAGACGGAGGACUGCGUUCUCCUGACCGUGGUGCGUCGGCCCCGCCAGCAACCCGCACAAGCACGGCCCCUGCAGAUGGAGCUCGUUUCCACACCACGGGUUCCAUUCUUCACAGCUGUCGCCCGCAUAGAUUCAAACUAGACGCGCUUAAGGAAAUGAAGGAAAACAAGCAGGCCCGACACACACUCAGGGCCCUAGCCGGGGAGACGCACUGUCCCUGCCUGGGUGAGUCAGGCGUCACUCAGCAGUGUGCCAGCACAAGACAUUGUACUGGGACAAUGGGCAGUGACUCAGUUUCUAAUUUUGUUGGGCAGUGUGCAGAGGAAGCUUGCGCAGUAAAGGGCAGGCUGGCUGGAGUCGCUCAGGAGGGCUCUGUGACCCACCCACGGCGUGGCCGCCUCCUGCGAGGGGGGCAAAGUGUGCAGCCCCAGGUGCGGGAGCAGAGGGAGGCGGUGGAAGAAGUGUCAGGGGUGAAGGGAGGUGAGGGGCAGCGAUGGUGACAAACUUACGGUUUUUCAGGGGAUCUUCUGCCUUAGGAAACAAAAUGCUGCCUGAAAAAGAAAACAUUUCAAAGAUAUAAAUAUUUUGGUGGUGGUAGUGAGUAAACCUUCCAUGAAGCCCCAGAACUUCAUAAAUAAAUGUACAUUCCACGUUU